rnacentral:rRNA from 1 species
CCUACGGGAGGCAGCAGUGGGGAAUUUUGGACAAUGGGCGCAAGCCUGAUCCAGCAAUGCCGCGUGCAGGAAGAAGGCCUUCGGGUUGUAAACUACUUUUGUACGGAACGAAACGGCUCUGGUUAAUACCCGGGGCUAAUGACGGUACCGUAAGAAUAAGCACCGGCUAACUACGUGCCAGCAGCCGCGGUAAUACGUAGGGUGCAAGCGUUAAUCGGAAUUACUGGGCGUAAAGCGUGCGCAGGCGGUUGUGUAAGACAGGCGUGAAAUCCCCGGGCUCAACCUGGGAAUUGCGCUUGUGACUGCACGGCUGGAGUGCGGCAGAGGGGGAUGGAAUUCCGCGUGUAGCAGUGAAAUGCGUAGAUAUGCGGAGGAACACCGAUGGCGAAGGCAAUCCCCUGGGCCUGCACUGACGCUCAUGCACGAAAGCGUGGGGAGCAAACAGGAUUAGAUACCCUGGUAGUCCACGCCCUAAACGAUGUCAACUGGUUGUUGGGUCUCUUCUGACUCAGUAACGAAGCUAACGCGUGAAGUUGACCGCCUGGGGAGUACGGCCGCAAGGUUAAAACUCAAAGGAAUUGACGG